CUCAGCCUCCAGAGCAGCUGGGACUACAGGCGCCCGCCGCCUCGCCCCGGCUAAUUUUUUUGUUUUUUGUUUGGUAUUUUUAGUAGAGGCGGGGUUUCACUGUGUUAGCCAGGCUGGUCUCAAUCUCCUGACCUCGUGAUCUGCCCGCCUCGGCCUCCCAAAGUGCUGGGAUUACAGGCGUGAGCCACCGAGCCCGGCUGGUUGCCUUCUUAAGACUGCAAAGGGAAUUUGCCAGCUCUGUAGGACAGAAAAUAGCCUGCAAAUCAAUGGAAGAAACCUCUCCUCAUAGUCAGAUACUUUGGAAUCGUCGGCCAGUCCUCCGAAGGCACUGAAAAGCAUCCCUCCUCAGGAAGAUGUGUAUUGGUCCCUAAUGAUCAUCUUGCACUCCAGACUCCAUCUCAGAAUCUUCCUCCAGAGAACUCAACCUGUGAAACCAUUAUAGAAGAUGUUUAUCCACUCGACUGUAGAAGGGCAUCUGGGCUGCCCUCAAUUAUUGGCUUUUUUCAGUAGAGCUACUGCAAACAUUCUAGUAAAUUUCUUUGGGAUAUAUAUUUAGGAGUAGGAUUGUUGGAUAACAGCAUUUGUUUGCUUAAGUUUAGUAAACACAUUUUUAUAAAAGGCUAUACCAAUUUACUACCAAUGUACAAAAAAUUUAGUUACACAACUCUUCAUUCAAUCUUUGUUGGUUGAGACAGAGAGAGCAUAGGGAAAAAAGACAAAAACCUUUGUAUUUUAGUGUGCUAUAUUUUAGCUUUGUUGGUGAGUGUGUAGUGGUAUCUUGCUGUGGUUUUAAUUAACAUUUCUCUGAUGACUAAUGUAAUUCAGCAAAAUUCAAAUGUUUGUUGGAUAUUUGGACACUCGUAUAUCUUUUUUUUGCAUGAAGUGGCUGCUUGAAGUCUUUUGCUAGUUUUAAUUGAGCUGUCUUUUUCUUUUUGAUUUUGUAGUCUUUCAUUUUUCUGAAUGUAUUUCUCUUUUCAAAUAUGCAUAUUGUAAAUGCCUUCUUUUAAUAUGUGAUUUACUUUGACAUUCACAUAAUGGUAAUUUUGAUUAACAGAAGUUCUUAAUUUUAAUGUCAUCCAAUUAUCAUUUUGCUCUUUAAGCUAAUGGUUUCUGUGUUUGAUUUAACAAAUGUUUCUUACCCAAGGCAGUGAUAAUAUUGUUCUGUUUUCUACUAAAAGUGUUAUUGUUUAGCCUUCUACAUACUGUGAGGCACUUUUCAAAUACUAUUAUUUUCCUGCAUAGAAGUCCAUUUGAUCCAGCAUCUCUUGGUGAAAAUUCCAUUUGUUACCCACUGUUCAAAUGGGGGUAACAAAUUUGUCAUGGAGAAAUUCAUCAUGAAGAAAUUCCUCAUGUCUGUGUCUCUUUGUAACAUGCCUGACUGGCUUAUUGUCUAAUACUUCUGCUGUAGUUUUAUAUGUUAAUAUCCAAUUAUGCUAGUGCUCCAGCUUUUAAAAUUUUUAUUUUUAACAUUUGUGGGUACAUAGUAGGUGUAUAUAUUUAUAGGGUACAUGAGAUAUUUGAUACUGGCAUGCAAUGCCUAAUAAUCACAGCAGAGUGAAUGGGGUUUCCAUCACAUCAUGCAUUUAUAUUUCCUUGUGUUAAAAAAAUCCAAUUACACUCUUUUUGUUAUUAUAAAAUGUGUGAUAAACUAUUGUUGACUGUAGUCACCAGGUUAUGCUAUUAAAUACUAGAAUUUAUUCAUUCUAUCUAACUAUAUUUUUGUAUCCAUUAACCAUUUCCACUUACCUCUACCCACUACACUUCCUAGCCUCUGGUAAUCAACAUUCUACUCUCCAUCUCCAUUAGUCCAAGUGUUUUAAUGUUUUUCAGCUACUACAAAUUAGUGAGAACAUGCAAAGAUUGUCUUUCUGUGCCUGGCUUAUUUCACUUAACCUCCAGUUUCAUCCAUAUUACUGCAAAUGACAGAAUCUCAAAACACCUCCAGUUUCACACGUUAUUGCAAAUGACAGAAUUGUAUUCUUUUUUUAUGUCUAAAUAGUGCUCCAUAAGGUAUACCUACCAUAUUUUCUUUAUCCGUUUGUCUGUUAUUGGACACUUAGGUUGCUUCCAAAUCUUGGCUAUUGUGGAUAAUGUUGCAAUAAAUAUGUGAGUGCAGACA
rnacentral:lncRNA from 1 species